UAAUACGUAGGGACCAAGCGUUGUUCGGAUUUACUGGGCGUAAAGGGCGCGUAGGCGGCGCAAUAAGUCACUUGUGAAAUCUCCGGGCUUAACUCGGAGCGGCCAAGUGAUACUGUUGUGCUAGAGUGCAGAAAGGGCAAUCGGAAUUCUCGGUGUAGCGGUGAAAUGCGUAGAUAUCGAGAGGAACACCUGAGGCGAAGGCGGGUUGCUAGGCUGACACUGACGCUGAGGCGCGAAAGCUAGGGUAGCAAACGGGAUUAGAUACCCCGGUAGUC
rnacentral:rRNA from 1 species